rnacentral:rRNA from 1 species
AGCGAACGCUAGCGGCGAGCUUAACACAUGCAAGUCGAGCGGAGGGUUUCGGCCCUCAGCGGCGGACGGGUGAGUAACACGUAGGUUACGUGCCCUUUGGUGGGGAAUAACUUAGGGAAACCUGAGCUAAUACCGCAUAUGCCCUUCGGGGUGAAAGUCUUCGGACGCCAGAGGAUCGGCCUGCGGCCCAUUAUUUAAUCCUUGUUGGUGGGGUAACGGCCUACCAAGGGUACGAUGGGUAGCUGGUCUGAGAGGAUGAUCAGCCACACUGGGACUGAGACACGGCCCAGACUCCUACGGGAGGCAGCAGUGGGGAAUAUUGGACAAUGGGGGAAACCCUGAUCCAGCUACGCCGCGUGGGUGAUGAAGGCCUUCGGGUUGUAAAGCCCUGUCGAGGGGGACGAAGUUCUGACGGUACCCCUCAAGAAAGCACCGGCUAACUCCGUG